GGUAUGCAAUAUAGAGAUUCAAUUACUCAGUGUAUCAAGGUACCGGAACGCAGCUGCCAAAGCCCCUGCUCCGGAAGCUUGUAUUCCAGCGGCGCAGACGGACGACGUAGUUACCAUCACUGCUCCGUGAACAGGGCAAGAGUAACACUAAGAAGCUGAAGUAAAUCUCAAGAAGACUCAUCCACA